rnacentral:rRNA from 1 species
AUUGAACGCUGGCGGCAGGCCUAACACAUGCAAGUCGAACGGAGUGGCGGGCGGGUGUGUAAUGCCUAGGAAUCUGCCUGGUAGUGGGGGAAAACGUGCGGAAACGGGCGCUUAUCGCGCAUACUAUCAGAUGAGCCUAUGUGGGAGUAGCUUGUUGGUGGGGUAAAGUCCUAUCAAGGCGACGAUCCGUAACUGGUCUGAGAGGAUGAUCAGUCACACUGGAACUGAGACACGGCCCAGACUCCUACGGGAGGCAGCAGUGGGGAAUAUUGGACAAUGGGCGAAAGCCUGAUGCAGCCAUGCCGCGUGUGUGAAGAAGGUCUUCGGAUUGUAAAGCACUUUAAGUUGGGAGGCGUUACCGACAGAAGAAGCACCGGCUAACUCCGUGCCAGCAGCCGCGGUAAUAC